rnacentral:rRNA from 2 species
GGAUCCAGACUUUGAUCAUGGCUCAGGAUGAACGCUAGCUACAGGCUUAACACAUGCAAGUCGAGGGGAAACGACAUCGAAAGCUUGCUUUUGAUGGGCGUCGACCGGCGCACGGGUGAGUAACGCGUAUCCAACCUGCCCAUCACUUGGGGAUAACCUUGCGAAAGUAAGACUAAUACCCAAUGAUAUCUCAAGAAGACAUCUGAAUGAGAUUAAAGAUUUAUCGGUGAUGGAUGGGGAUGCGUCUGAUUAGCUUGUUGGCGGGGUAACGGCCCACCAAGGCGACGAUCAGUAGGGGUUCUGAGAGGAAGGUCCCCCACAUUGGAACUGAGACACGGUCCAAACUCCUACGGGAGGCAGCAGUGAGGAAUAUUGGUCAAUGGGCGAGAGCCUGAACCAGCCAAGUAGCGUGCAGGAUGACGGCCCUAUGGGUUGUAAACUGCUUUUAUAAGGGAAUAAAGUGAGCCUCGUGAGGCUUUUUGCAUGUACCUUAUGAAUAAGGACCGGCUAAUUCCGUGCCAGCAGCCGCGGUAAUACGGAAGGUCCGGGCGUUAUCCGGAUUUAUUGGGUUUAAAGGGAGCGUAGGCCGGAGAUUAAGCGUGUUGUGAAAUGUAGAUGCUCAACAUCUGCACUGCAGCGCGAACUGGUUUUCUUGAGUACGCACAAAGUGGGCGGAAUUCGUGGUGUAGCGGUGAAAUGCUUAGAUAUCACGAAGAACUCCGAUUGCGAAGGCAGCUCACUGGAGCGCAACUGACGCUGAAGCUCGAAAGUGCGGGUAUCGAACAGGAUUAGAUACCCUGGUAGUCCGCACGGUAAACGAUGGAUGCCCGCUGUUGGUCUGAAUAGGUCAGCGGCCAAGCGAAAGCAUUAAGCAUCCCACCUGGGGAGUACGCCGGCAACGGUGCAACUCAAAUGAAUUGACGG